rnacentral:rRNA from 1 species
AGAGCGAACGCUGGCGGCAGGCUUAACACAUGCAAGUCGAGCGGGCGUAGCAAUACGUCAGCGGCAGACGGGUGAGUAACGCGUGGGAACAUACCUUUGGUUCGGAACAACACAGGGAAACUUGUGCUAAUACCGGAUAAGCCCUUACGGGGAAAGAUUUAUCGCCGAAAGAUUGGCCCGCGUCUGAUUAGCUAGUUGGUGAGGUAACGGCUCACCAAGGCGACGAUCAGUAGCUGGUCUGAGAGGAUGAUCAGCCACAUUGGGACUGAGACACGGCCCAAACUCCUACGGGAGGCAGCAGUGGGAAUAUUGGACAAUGGGCGCAAGCCUGAUCCAGCCAUGCCGCGUGAGUGAUGAAGGCCCUAGGGUUGUAAAGCUCUUUUGUGCGGGAAGAUAAUGACGGUACCGCAAGAAUAAGCCCCGGCUAACUUCGCGCCAGCAGCCGC